rnacentral:sRNA from 2 species
GCCAUUGUCAUUGGGGAGUAGCCAUCCUCACCCCGGAAAGCCCCGUGCUUUCACCUUGAGGAAUCCGCGUCAACACACUUGAAGCAUCGGCUUCAUGGCGCGGAUGGUUGCCGCGGUCCGUCCGGAUCGCGCCUGCCCGGCGAGACCUUUGGCCACGAUGCGUUCACCCGUGCCGGGCGAACCGCGUCGUUGCGCCAAUGGUUUUCCGUUCGCCCGGCCGUGGACCC